CUUGAAAGGAGCCCAAAGCACUGCAAGAUGGUUUCACACUGUGGCCACUAUUUUGUUCAGGGGAAGAAUAGUGUGCUCCAUCCCCUAGUUUCACCUCAGUCACUUUGUUCAAGCCAGGUAACUGAGAGAGGAAACAGAAAUUGCCCUUGUUUACUUUGAAAUUUUUGUCUAAAUGACCUUCAGAGGGGGAAAAAAUUGCUUUAGCUGGGACACCAGGGGGAGUGCCCCAGCAGAGCCAUGUUCACUUGGAAGCAAUCCAUUGGAUAGCCCCACUGAAACUACAGAAGGAAUCUCAGAGAUCGAGACAUUAGUCAGUCAGGGAAAGGGUAGCAUUCCUGCUGGGCAGUGGGGUAGAAACAAGAAAGGCAGCCUGGUUCCUGGCUCCAAGAGUCUUCAGAGAUGAAGUUCCAGCUUUGUAGUUGGAGAAAACAGAGCCUCUACUCAAGGAAUAUCUCAUCCAGUAAUGACUAUCACCUACUGAACACUUCCUGACUCAGUAUUGUACCAGAGUCUUCACUGACAUUAUUCCACUUAACAUUAUAACCUAAAAAGGAGCAAUUACAAUUCCCAUUUUACAGGUUGGUAAAUGGUCUCAUGUUGUAUAACUUCUUCAAGGUCAUAUAGGUAUAGUAAAUGACCGAGCUAGGAUUUGAAUCUAAGUUUGCUUUUAACCUCAUAUAGAUUUCUUUCUAACCACAUGACCUUAAAUAAGUGGCACCACCUUGAUCCUCAGUUGUCUCAUCUCCACAGUCUUGCAUGGUGGUCAUAUGGACUAAAUGAGAUAACAUACCUGAGAUGUUCAAGAAACUUUUGUUUCUUCCUUUCCAAAUCCCAGCUUUCCCAUUUAAGAAAAUCGCUUAACUUUUCUUGGACACUGUUUUUCAUUUGAAAACCAAUUGCAGUUUAUCAGUCUCUAACCUUGCAUGUUGACAACCCCAGCAGGAUGCAACACAGGCCUGAUGCUCCAGCCUCCUAGCUUCUUUUUCUUUCCAGCACAUUUUCCUGCCUAUACUCACAGCUCUAGCACUGUUAUGGUUUUUGGCUUUUUCCAGCAAACAUCAUAUUUACAAACUACAAAUAACAAAGUAGAAGAUGCCGAAAGAGAGCUCUGGCAUGUUAAUUAAGAACAAUAGCAGAAGCAGCUGGGCAGAAAAUGCCAAAGAGUCAGAAGCAGAAGCAGCAUAGCUGUUUGUUGACAGAAGCCAAUGCAGCAUUGUACGUUAAUCGGGGAAGUGGGUAAACAUUUGCCUGCAGCUUGCCCCCCAGUGCAUUGGAAGACAGACAGCAGGACGGGCCCUCCCCACCACCUUGCCUGCCCAUCUGCCCAUAACCCAAGAGAUACUAGAAGAACAUGCUUUGCCCUGAGUUUUAUAAACAGAGAGGAUUCUAGGGGUGAAUGUGUCUCCUUAAUGAUCCUCCUGGGUAUACCAGGUUUCCAUCUGGAUACAGUCAAAGAUAGUAUUCCCCAUUCAACUUGCCAGUCUCCCUGUGACCCCAGCCUUGGCCCCCAGGGGCUCCCCUUCUCUCUAGCCAGAAGCCAGCAGAGUCUCUCAUUAGGAGUGGCUUGAGUUGAGCAGAAGACAAGAUUGCCUGCCUCAGGUGCUGGAGUCUUUGCCCAUGGGCCCAGAGCUCCUAUAUGUAAUAGCAACAGCUUCAGCCCUAACUAGAGACUGCCUGGCCUUCUGUCACACACACUCCCAGCUGCCCAUUUGCCUGUGUGUCCAUCCAUGCUUUACAGUUGCUGUAACACACAGCAGCCAUUCUUGACACCUGCUCUGUGCCAGACACUGUGCUAAUUAUAUGUUUUUUCUCAUUUAAUCCUCACAUCAGUCCUGUGAGGUUGAUACUAACUCCAAAGACACAAAGCUGAUAACCAGCACAGCUGUGAUUUAUACCAGUCUUUUAAUUCCAAAACCUAUAUCUUCCUUCCUAUACCAGUAUUUCUUAACUUUCUAAAAUUCAUGACCCUUUUUGAUAAACAUGAAAAUUUUGUUUCUCAGAUUCAAAAACCCAUCAUGUCCUCUCCCUACCAUUGGACCAGAUGGGCAUACACCUAAUUUAGGAUUCCUGUAUCAGUAACAAAUCCCCUGGUGCCAAUAUUUC
rnacentral:lncRNA from 1 species